GAUGAACGCUGGCGGCGUGCCUAACACAUGCAAGUCGAACGGAAAGGCCCUGCUUUUGUGGGGUGCUCGAGUGGGGAACGGGGGAGUAACACGUGUGUAUCCUGCCCUUGUCUUUGGGAUAACUUCAGGAAACUGGGGCUAAUAUCGGAUAGGAGCUCCUGUUCCAUGGGGGGCGGUGGAUAGUUUCGGCGGUUGUGGAUGGACUCGCGGCUUAUCAGCUUGUUGGUGGGGUAGUGGCUUACCAAGGCUUUGACGGGUAGCCGGCAUGAGAGGGUGGCCGGCCACAUGGGGACUGAGAGACGGCGCAGACUCCUACGGGAGGCAGCGGGGGGGAAUAUUGCACAAUGGGCGGGAGCCUGAUGCGACAACGCCGGGUGCGGAAUGACGGCCUUCGGGUUGUAAACCGCUUUCGCCUGUGACGAAGCGGUAGUGACGGUAAUGAGUAAAGAAGCACCGGCUAACUACGUG
rnacentral:rRNA from 1 species